UGCUGCACUUGAGCAGGUUCAGUUUUUAGAGUGAAUGAAAACUUUUGAAGCAUAGAUAUGCCGUGUGAUGUGAUUAAAAUCAUACUUAUUUUACUGUGGUGGGGAUUAUUAUGAGCAAACAAACUUAAAAGUUUAAUCUGAACACUAUAUAACGUUAUAUGCAAUCUGACACUUAUUCAUUUAAUUUUUUUUACAGAAAUUCUGAGCUGCUGCAUGAACAUUCAUCAAACAUAUAAGGCUGCAAUUUGGAAAAAACUUUCAAGCUAAUGCUGCUGAAAUGGAGGUCAAGGGGACUAUGAAGAGGUGGCUCCAGCUGAAGGGUGGACUUCAGGAGGCAGACACACUCUGUUACAGUAAUUAGCUGAUCCAGUCGGUAUCCAGACCAGAUGGUGGACCUGCACCCAGGAACGACCACAACACAUCCCUGACUGUCAGCGGAGACCAUGACAGAUCUCUGUGAAGACCUCAUUGAUGGCCCCAGCACAGAUCCUCAGCAAAGACUACGAGAACCAGACAAGCCCUCUGCGCAGACCCUUUUUACCAGCUUCACCUGCUGGCGUGAUAUUACUUCAUGCAGAAGAAGUUGGAUGAAAUAUUCUGAAUGAUAUCAAUCCACAAUCUGACUUGUGAUGCAGCCUGGAAUAAUCAAACCACGUUCAUUCGUUUGGCCAGAGGAGACUGUUUCCUGACUGAGCCGGGUCUUGUUUGGGUUUCUUGUCACUGUUGCCUUUUGUCUUGCUUGGUUGAAGACACCUAAUAUUCAGCAAUAUUAUUGACUUGUCUGCACUGACACCAUUUGAUAAGAAUUGAACUGAAUUAUGACACACAAUGUUUUAUAUAUGAAGAGUUUAUUUGCAAAAACAGAUAACUCCGUUUUAAAAUAUUUUUAAAAAUCAUGUUUUUUGUUAUCAUGUUUUUGUUUUAUUGUGUUAGUUAGCUAGUAUUUAUUAGUUAUUCUUUACCUAAUCAAAAUAACCUGAAUGCAGUUUGAUUGAGAUUAAUUGCA